rnacentral:rRNA from 1 species
UACGCAGGGGGCGAGCGUUGUUCGGAAUUACUGGGCGUAAAGGGCGCGUAGGCGGCGAUCCGAGUCAGAUGUGAAAGUCCUGGGCUUAACCUGGGGACUGCAUUUGAUACUGGAUUGCUUGAAUUCGGGAGAGGAUAGCGGAAUUCCGGGUGUAGCGGUGGAAUGCGUAGAGAUCCGGAAGAACACCAGAGGCGAAGGCGGCUCGCUGGGCUUGGUCUGACGCUGAGGCGCGAAAGCGUGGGGAGCGAACAGG